CCUACGGGCGGCUGCAGUGGGGAAUAUUGGACAAUGGGCGAAAGCCUGAUCCAGCCAUGCCGCGUGUGUGAAGAAGGCCUUCGGGUUGUAAAGCACUUUCAGUGGGGAAGAAAGCCUUGGGGCUAAUACCCUCGAGGAAGGACAUCACCCACAGAAGAAGCACCGGCUAACUCCGUGCCAGCAGCCGCGGUAAUACGGAGGGUGCGAGCGUUAAUCGGAAUUACUGGGCGUAAAGCGCGCGUAGGCGGUCUGAUAAGCCGGUUGUGAAAGCCCCGGGCUCAACCUGGGAACGGCAUCCGGAACUGUCAGGCUAGAGUGCAGUAGAGGAAGGUAGAAUUCCCGGUGUAGCGGUGAAAUGCGUAGAGAUCGGGAGGAAUAACAGUGGCGAAGGCGGCCUUCUGGACUGACACUGACGCUGAGGUGCGAAAGCGUGGGUAGCAAACAGGAUUAGAUACCCGAGUAGUC
rnacentral:rRNA from 1 species